AAGUGGAGGAGAAAGAGGAAAAAGGCAGGAGGGGAGAAAAACAAAGGGAGGAGGAUGAACAGGGGAUGGAAAAGCAAGUGCUAAGCGAGGUGUACAGCCGCUGUCCCUAUAGCAAGAAUGCCCAGGCCCAGGUCUCUCACGCAGCCUCCUAGAGCUAGAGUGUGUGUGCGGUUGUCUCUGUGUCACUCCUUCGCCUUCCCUGAAGGACACUGUGUACUUGCCAGGUGCCGGGAUCACAGUCAGUCUUCAGUCCUCCUCCCACUCUCAGCUCCUGUGUGUUCAUAACUACAGCAGCCCAGGCUUGUCUGAAAGGCACCUCCUGCACUCCUCACCAUCUCUGGGCUCCUGCAGCCUCAGAGAGAACGGCAUGGAUGUCCAGUUUGGAACCAAGCAUUCAGCAGUCACUUAUUCUUGACACUUGGCCAUUUCUGGGUCUCUGUUUUGCCAUCACUCACUACCGCAAGAGGAUUUCUGACCAAGACUGAGACCUAUACUUACUUCGUGUGUAGCUUUCUCCUUCCAUCAUGGGUUCCAGGAAUGGAACUCAGGACAUCAGGCCUACGUAACUAGUGCCUUUGCCCACCGAGCCAUCUUACCUGCCCGACAUGAGAUUUCAACCGAUCUGUGGUAUCGGGUGUGUAUUCUCUCCCAUGGAGCUGGCUUCAAAUUCAAUCAAGAAAGUUGUUGGUUGUCCCUUCUGACAUCCAUGCCACUAGUGCACUCGGUUUUGAGGCAGGAAGGAUCUACGGCCGGGGCUGACUGUUAAUAACUGGCUCUUCUCCAACAGCCUGCACAGCACCUCAGGGUACUAGGUAGCCAAUAGAAAGCGAGCUUCCAACUCAGUUCCAACUCAGUUCUUUUCUGUGUCCAGCAAGUAUGAUUGCUAGGGCGCUGCUUUUAGCAGUCCCUGGAGUGCAUGUUGCCUGUGGAGUUAGCAUUCCUUCCCAUUGUUUUACAGGGGAAAAAUACCCACUUUCACAAGGGUGGUUCAUCAAGUGGAGGUGUGAGGGGAGUGAAGGCAGAGGACUGUGCCCAGUCCACUAUAAGCUGACAUAAGCUGGGGUCUCAGUUACCAAAGGAAGAAGCCAGCAGCCAGCAGCCAGAAGUGCACUUCAGGAAAGUGGUGGUAGAAAGAAGACUUUAACCAGCUGAUGCCCGAUUUCCACAGUUGCCAAGGUCUCCGGUGAGAGCAAUUAAGCCAGCAGUUUACCACAUUUGCACUGUAGGUUCACCCAGGUCACUGUCUUCUUCCCCUCGUCAAAGAAGAGCUCUGAAGCACCGGCCCUUCUGAUCGGAAACAUAGGGCUGUUGACUCUUAUCUAGGGAAUUGCUCCAAACCUCAUCACUACCGCCCUGAAUCUGAAAUAAGAAGGAAGUAGCAGGGCUGGAGAGAAAGACUAGUGGAUAAACUAACACACAACUAGUUCCCAGUACCCACAUUGGGUAGCUCACUACAGCUCCAGAGUAACAACUGCCCCCUUCUGGCCGCUGAGAGUACUGCAUGCAUACCUGCACCGCCCACACAAAUGCACACAGAAUUUUCUUUUAAUUUUAAAAAAAUAAAUAGCCUCACUUUUGCUCUAUUUCCCCUUCGUAAAUUCCGAAGUGACUUCUCAUCACAAGUAAACUGAUAUGUUAACA